rnacentral:rRNA from 1 species
UACGGGGGGAGCAAGCGUUGUUCGGAUUUACUGGGCGUAAAGGGCGCGUAGGCGGUCAGCACAAGUCAAUUGUGAAAUCUCCGGGCUUAACUCGGAACGGUCAAGUGAUACUGUCGGACUAGAGUACAGAAGGGGCAACUGGAAUUCUCGGUGUAGCGGUGAAAUGCGUAGAUAUCGGAAGGAACACCGGUGGCGAAGGCGGCACGCUGGGCCUUUCCUGACGCUGAGGCGCGAAAGCCAGGGGAGCGAACGGG